UGUCCUCGGUCGGUAGAAGGCUCCAAUAACUUUGUGGUAGGUGGAUCUACACCUUCCUAAGCAAGCCCAGUGACACCCAUUGCGGCUCAUGGUGCUUCAACCUCCACACCACAAUGAUCACUCGAGGUAGUUGUCUAUGCUUGUGCACUAUUGAUGCUUGUGUCUUGUCGUUGGUUGUGCCUUUCAACUUGUAACUUGUGCAUUGUUGAUGGUAGAGCCCACAAAUGUUGAUCCUUAUAUUAUUCAUACUUCUUAGCUUCAGUUUGAAAUUGAUAUGUUGAAGCUUGUUAAAUCUUGUGCCUUAUUGAUCUGCAAUUUAAAUUUGGAAAUUCUUACUUGGCUUCAAUUUGAAACAUAUAGGUUUGCAUCGUGGAUGCAAUCGAUGGUGGGCAUACAUGCUGUGGUGGAAGCUGAUUGCAUCUUUUAGGUUGAACUCAUGCUAUGUGUGAACUUGGAACUCAUGAUUCCAUUUGUGGACUCUUGUUGCAUCUGUAGGUGAACCCUUGUUGAAUAUGUACGAUUGUGGACUUUGAACUCAUGGCCCUUUUGUUUGUGAACUCUUGUUGCAUAUGUACACAUGUUUUUGUGAACCUUCUUUGAAUAUGUAUGCAUCUCUGGACUACUCAUGGUUGGUUUGUUAUGGUUGUCAACUUGUAUUAUAUUGUUGCUGUGAACUUUGCUGUAUAUAUAUUGUUG
rnacentral:lncRNA from 1 species